AACUCAUAGUGAGGGCACGAACGGGCCAUCUCUUUGAACCGCUCCCAAGCUUCCCCAAGUGUCUCAUCAUUCUCUUGUUCAAAUGAGGAGAUCUUUCUCCUUAUGUC
rfam:Beta vulgaris subsp. vulgaris Bvchr6.sca010.con0030.1, whole genome shotgun sequence.